GGUUGGGGAUAACAUUUGGAAACAGAUGCUAAUACCGAAUAAAACUUACCAUCGCAUGAUAUCAAGUUAAAAGGCGCUACGGCGUCACCUAGAGAUGGAUCCGCGGUGCAUUAGUUAGUUGGUGGGGUAAAGGCUUACCAAGACGAUGAUGCAUAGCCGAGUUGAGAGACUGAUCGGCCACAUUGGGACUGAGACACGGCCCAAACUCCUACGGGAGGCUGCAAUAGGGAAUCUUCCACAAUGGGCGCAAGCCUGAUGGAGCAACGCCGCGUGUGUGAUGAAGGCUUUCGGGUCGUAAAGCACUGUUGUAUGGGAAGAAAUGCUAAAAUAGGGAAUGAUUUUAGUUUGACGGUACCAUACCAGAAAGGGACGGCUAAAUACGUGCCAGCCGCCGCGGUAAUACA
rnacentral:rRNA from 1 species